ensembl:snRNA U7 U7 small nuclear RNA
GAGUGUUACAGCUCUUUUAGAAUUUGUCUAGCAGGUUUUCCAGUUUUCACCAGAAACUUCCCCA